GGAGUCUGCUCACAUGGGUCAGCUGUGCACAUCGCAUCCCACCUCCACAUUCACUGAUGCUACGUUGAUAUUGAUCUCCAAUCACCAUUUUACACCUCAGACUUUCUUGCAGCACCUGGUCCCUGAGAACUAAUUCCUGCAACAUAUAGGAUUGAGGAUAGCCCAAGAUAGCAGGAUGGAGUUUGGACCUAGAUCACCCACAGCUCAGCAGGCAAUGGGAAACUCAUCAUUGACGAUGACAUUAGAAGUGGGAUCCAAAACACAGCUU